UAACAAGGUCUCCGUAGGUGAACCUGCGGAGGGAUCAUUA
rnacentral:rRNA from 24 species